rnacentral:lncRNA from 1 species
UCAGUUGCUGCCACCUUCCGGUGCCUGAUUUCCUCAUCUGCAAAAGGCGGUGCUCACACCUGCCUCAAGCAGGCCUCUCUGACCAGGUGGUGGGUGGUUAGAGAGAGUGGAGGGAGCAAAGUCCAGAGAGGAAUGAGCUUUGCCUGACCUGAAGUAUGACCAGGCCCUUAGUGGGUGGUCAUUGCAUGUCUCAGAUGUAGCUAGUUAUAUGUUUGUCCUGCAAAAUGGACUCAAUAAUGGUAUCUACCAUUUUGGUGUGGCGGCACAUGCUUAUAAUCCCAAUGACUCCAGAGGCUAAGGCAGGAGGAUUGCAAGUUUGCAAAAAGGUAUCUACCUCAUAAGAUUUCAUGAGGACUAGUUUUUUGUGUGGUAUGGAGACUAAAUCCAGGGGUACUCUAACAUUUAGCUGCCUCCCCAGUCCUCUUUUUUUUAAAGAAAGGAUCUUGCUAAAUUGCUACAGGUCUUGUUUAGUUUCUGAGGCUGGCCUUGAAUUUGCAAUCUCCUGCCUUGGCCUCUGGAGUCACUGGGAUUACAGGUAUGAACCACUAUUCCUGGCUUCCUUUUCAUUUUUUAUUUAUUUAUUUUUUGGGGGAGGGUGGUACUGGGGAUUGAACCUAGGGACACUUUACCACUGAGCUAUAUUCCCAGUUCUUUGUAAUUUUUAUUUUGAAACAGGGUCUUACUACGUUGCUUAGGGCCUUGCUAA